rnacentral:rRNA from 1 species
UACGGGGGGGCAAGCGUUGUUCGGAAUACUGGGCGUAAAGGGCUCGUAGGUGGCCAACUAAGUCAGACGUGAAAUCCCUCAGCUUAACUGGGGAACUGCGUCUGAUACUGGAUGGCUUGAGUUGGGAGAGGCAGGCGGAAUUCCGGGUGUGAGCGGUGGAAUGCGUAGAGAUCCGGAAGAACACCGGUGGCGAAGGCGGCCUGCUGGGCAGUAGCUGACACUGAGGCGCGACAGCGUGGG